rnacentral:rRNA from 1 species
UACAGAGGGUGCAAGCGUUGUUCGGAAUCAUUGGGCGUAAAGCGCACGUAGGCGGCUUUGCAAGUCGGGUGUGAAAGCCCGGGGCUCAACCCCGGAAGUGCAUUCGAAACUGCAGAGCUUGAGUCUUGGAGAGGGUGGUGGAAUUCCGAGUGUAGAGGUGAAAUUCGUAGAUAUUGGGAAGAACACCGGUGGCGAAGGCGGCCAUCUGGACCAUUUCUGACGCUGAGGCGCGAAAGCGUGGGGAGCAAACAGG